GAGAAAACCCUGUGCCCUUGGAGAAAAUUGUUUCCCCUCUUCCUACAGGGAAUCCAGAGCCUGAGCAGCAGCUGUGAAGAGUGGAGAUAAAGAAAGAAGUGGAAGAUGUUGGAAGAGCUUUGGGCAACGUGAAGAAGGAUUUGCACUGAAGGAGCUGUUCAAGGGCCCAGCCGCAAAACAGAGACACAUACAUGCUUAUAUAUAGAAGAAUGUAAACCCUCCUGUAUGCAUACGUUAAAACGUGCAUGCCUUGUUGAGAACGUAAGCAACAUUCCUUGUAGAUGAUGGUGGUAUGAGCAUUUGUGCUCCUGCAGUCUGAGUCAAGAGAUUAGUGAUGUCCCUGCUGUGAUGCUAGCGUUGUCUCCCCUGCACCUUGUCUAUGGUGACAUAAGUGUCCCUUUCGAUGCAGCAAGCAAGAGAAAGUAGAUACACAUCUGGAGCCUCUGCGUAAACGAAGGCAAAACAAACCAUCCCGCUCAGAGCUGUACAGAACUGAUUUUCUUUGGGGCAGCUCUUUCUCUUGGCGCGGUUCUGAGCUUGGGAAGCAGCGUUCACGGAGGUGGUGAGGACACAGCAGCUCCUGUCACAGCUGUGUCCACAUCAAAGUCUGCUACUGCAGAACCUCCCGGAUGGGGGUGUAGGCAGUCCUCAACUCCUGUGAUCCAGGGAAAAGAGUUACAUCUGGGCUCAGCAGGAGACUCGUUGGCAGUGAUCCUUACGCACAUUUUUUAGAAACAUUUUUCCCAGCUUUGGAUAUUUGCAGCACAAAAUUGACCUUCACGUGGCAGGGGGGACUUCCAAAGGCAUACAGGGAUGUUAUAGGAGUUCAGUUUCCAAAGGAGGUUCCUUGUCUUUUAAAGACACUUCCUAACCUGCAACCAAUCAAGGAGCAAACUGCUCCAUCCCUGUCAGACUUUCGGUUUGUCGCUACUGCAGGAGAAAUGUUUCUAAGCAAUCUAAAGGCUAAAUUGUCUCUUUAUCAAAUAUUCACCGAUGUGUUUUGGGCACCUGCACACAUAUUCAUGGGGAAUAUUGAUCCGAGUCAGUUCCCAAACAGCAGAAGGGCUACGCUGAAAGCGCAAAUUGUUCCUAAUGAGUAACCUUGCCCUACUUUAUAUCAUGCGCAGUGGUGGGAGGGAUCAUGUAGCUAAGUGUAUUUUGUCUGUGGGUAGAGUGUGGAUGGCCUCAGAGCCGCAGGGAUUAGCCACCCAUCAAACACUGUUCUGCCACUUGUGGCCUGAUGCAUCCCACGUCCCUGCCCGGCUCAGUCUCCUACUGAUCUAAGUAAGAAUUCUUCUAGCAAAAGGAGGAGCCCCAGCUGAUUUCAGCAGUGCUGCAAGGAUUAGUGACUGCCGGAUCAGGUACAGCCUAAAAAACACAGUUUUCUGCAAAAAAGCCAGGGGAGCUGGCUUACACAUCUCAGUGCAAGACAGAGGGCUCUCCCACAUUCCCCUCACCCUUAACAGUUAUUACUAGCUCCUGAGAUCUGAAUGUUUAUAAUAAACUUCUAACCUGGAA